CUUCCACAUAACGUACAUAUUCACAUAUGAGUUUUCAUAACAUUGUAAAUUAACGUCCAAGUCGGGUGGUUUAAUCCCCGGAAAUAGGCAAUUACCUUUGAUUGAACUAAAAAAACUGAGUUUUUUAGCCAAUUUUCCAUAAUAUCAAGCCAGUUUGUCCCAGAGAGGAAAUGACCGUAUAUGAGUCCCCUUUUCCCCGAUAAUGGGACACAUGUGAUGUAAUUUUCAAGAUGGGACAAGUAGGCUUGAUGUUUGUUCCUCAUUUUUUCCAUUUAAAGUUUUUUAUUUCAUAUGGGACUAAUAUGCGACCAUAUGCCUUACAAUACGAUCCAGCGACGAACAUUCAAACUCAGUAAAUUAUACACAGUCACGAUUACGUUGAAUUUGAAUUCAGUGUGUAACCUUCACACCUCGUUUUCGAGCCAACCUUAUGUUGACAGAUGCACCAUGAACGCCCUAUCGAGUGUUGUUUGUUUAUGUUGAAUGUGAAAUGCACGAACUCGUUCGCGUGAAAAUUGAUUUGCUUGCUGUGAAAAAUAUGUGAUUAGAUAAAUAUCGCGCAAUUGUUGGCUCCACAACUGGAAGUUCCGGAUAGAAACCGUCCCCGACACGUACGAUCUGCUGGAUUGGCUCCACCGGGAUGAGCCUAAAGCGAGUGAUGCCGAAUAGUUCCGCGGAUGUGAAAUCGGAGGGAAAAGGAAAAUGGUGCGACGAAAAACCACGCAGAAAAAGUGUAAAGCUGUGAUUAUUCUUGCGAUAUCUGGUAAUCAACUUAAACUAGUGAAAAGUUGAGCGUUUCCGAUGCAAAUUUGGGAUCCGGUUUUGGUGAUGUCGAAGAGUCGCUAUGUUGCCGGAUAGAGUUUACCGGGAAGCAGAGCCCCUUUGAGCAUAGGACGCUACUGAUGUUUGGUUCGGGAAUUUGCUAUCAACGCUUGACGUUGGACGUGAGGAAGUUCCGAGGAUGUGAUAUCGAAAAGGAAAAGAAAAAUAAUGUUUCGGAACAUCAAGGAGAAAAAUAGUACAGCGUUGUGUUUAUUGCUCUGGACAAAAAAGGAAGAAAUGGGCCAAUUCUUGGAGGGAUAGUGAGUGUGCUUAGUUGCAGAAAUACGCAUAUUGGAGAAGAAAAAAAUUGUGCAUCGAAUACCAUCGAAAUUUCACAGCAAGGAUUAUUCUUGCCAUAACUGGUAAUUACUUUGAACUACUGAAGUGGUGAGACAGACCAGGGAGCAGUUUCUCACACUGAAGUAGUUUGAAGACCGUUACUGUGAGGAACUAACAGCGGAAUCAGGUUCCUUCGUUGUGAAAUGAAGAAAUAUAAAAAAAUCGUUCAAUUUCUUGGGAUGGUAAUGGGAGUGUUGUCAUGGUCAAUAGGCAGAGUCGGAAGAAGUGUUUCUGGUGCGGUAGCCGGGGGUAAAUGGCGAAAACCGAUUUUCCCAAACGUGUAUAAUCUUAAGGAAUAACCGUAAAAUGCGCUAGUUGCAAAGGAUGUUGUGCAGUACCGGAGAAGAAAUGGAAAAUUGUGCAAUGAAAAGUGACAAGAAAAAAAAUUAGCUAAUGAAGUUGAUCUUUGGUGAAGGGGUGGUGCUUUUCUACAGAUUCACGAUGGUGUCGGAAGAUUGUUUAUCAGGAAGUAAUGAAGAGAAGAAGAAAUCAGAAGUGAUCUGGAAUCAUGCAACUAGAGUAUAUUUGCAAGUGUUGGGGAAAUUGUGACAAAUGGCCAGUACGAACUAGAUCUUUGGUUCGAAUAAGAGGUGAUAUUGGUGUCUAAAGAAUAUAAGAAUGACGAAAGCACAAAUGCAUCGAAUCGAAUGUACACGUUCCUCACCAGUCGGAAGGGUGGCGUUCAUCUGAUCCACGACGAGUUCAUUUAUCGUUCAAAUCUUCGGCGGAGUGGUCGCAACAAGGACAUUAUUUACUGGGAAUGCGUGCAUAAUCGGGCGGAAAAAUGUCGAGGACGGCUUAAAAGUGUUGGGGAUCAGCUGUACAUAUCGAACUGGAAUAUACAACACAAUCACGAUCCCGACACAUCGAGAAUAGCAACUGCGAUGGCAUCUGGACAUGUAUCCUACAGGACACUAGCUUCGUUAGGAACUAUUUAUUCCUCAAUUACGAUAUGUGAUUCAAUAUAAUAAAAAAUUGCUACUGUCUUGAACCAUUUGUUUUCUUAGUUAAUUUUCGUCUAGAUUAUAGAAUCAAUUUCACGACAGGUGCUCAAGUGCUCAAUCUUGUGUUUGCAUUUCAGAUCAGCCAAGGCGAUAUUGUCCACCGGCGCUGGGUGAUCGUUUUCCGGUUCCGAAAGUAUGGUACUCGUUUUCGCCGAGCUACGUGACGAAUAGAUCCGGAACGACGUACUUGCACUUUCGGGGAUACUUCUACCUUCAGAAGAAUCGUUGCAACCGAAUAACGAAGUGGGUGUGCUACAAGUGCAACUUAACACGGGAGAGUUGCAAAAUGAGAAUUUCCACCAAGGAUAACAACCAGAUUCGCUUCGGAAUUUACUGGCACACCCACGGCCCGGAGGAUAUGAAUGAGUUGUUGUGAAAUAAAUGCGAUUGUUAGGCAUACGAUUAUGAGUCAUUUGAUCUAAACCAAUUCCGCUUAUCAUCACAUACGUUAUCCAAAUAUAUUAAACUUGUAAAAUUGGUUCAAUUUGACAGGAUCUUCAAAUCUAGUACUACCUGGAAUAUAUGCAGGCAUCUGGUACAAGGCAGAUCUGGAGUUUGUCGAGAAUCGGCGCGGAGGAUUCAGUUUGAAAUACAAGGGAUAUCUGUUUACCACCGAACGCCGAUAUAAUAACACGGUCAAUUGGGUCUGCAAUAAGAGCAGCAGUUCGGCGUUGCGUUGUCGGGCUCGGUGCGUUACUCAGGGUCCCCAGAUGAUCAAAUUUAGUAAACGGAGGCAUAAUCAUGACGUAUGAGAUGACGUGAUCACUGGACUGAAUUUGAAAACUGUGCAAUGCCAUAUAUGAAGUACCAGAUUAAAGAAGAUUUUUUCCAUGGUUGAUUCCUGUAUGAAUUACAAACAGAUGUGCACAUGAUGACGUGUCAAGACAACAUAACAAAAAGGGUCAUAAUCUCCCUCCACUAUUA